UACGUAGGGUGCAAGCGUUAAUCGGAAUCAUUGGGCGUAAAGCGCGUGUAGGCGGCUUCGUAAGUCCGUUGUGAAAGUCCAGGGCUCAACCCUGGAAUGCCGAUGGAUACUGCGGAGCUAGAGUCCGGAAGAGGCGAGUGGAAUUCCUGGUGUAGCGGUGAAAUGCGCAGAUAUCAGGAGGAACACCAAUGGCGAAGGCAGCUCGCUGGGACGGUACUGACGCUGAGACGCGAAAGCGUGGGGAGCAAACAGG
rnacentral:rRNA from 1 species